AUGUUUUCAUUCUCCAUUUUGCAUGGUAUAGUAAUUAGAAGGUUGAAAGUAGCUUCAGUAGUCCCAUUACUGUACAAUCCAACACCAUUCAGAUUAUCUCCUCAGGGAUGGAAGGGAAAAUCUCUAAAGCAAGUGAUGCAUUGUUUGCUUUAUGGAGCAAAAAACUUGAGCCUACCUUGUGCAAACUCAAGAAAGAAUAUAUUGAUACUAGAUGUUCAGAUGAUGAGCUGUGAUUGGACCGUCCUUCGGAUAGACGUGGUGUAAUUGGUGCUUCCAUAGUCUAUCACGUCUGGGGCAUUUCCCAUAGUGAGAUACCGAGUGAUUGUUUGAAAGAGAACAGUUAUUAUAUGUAUUGGCUGCCUCGCCAAAUCAUGCUCAAUUGCUUGCGUUUCUGUUUUAUUUAACAGUCUUUUGUGAACAUAUAUAUACUUUAAUAACAAAUAAUUGUGACACUUUACAAUAUGGUUCGAUUAGUUCAUGUUAAUGUAUUAAAGUAUAUUAAUCUGUUAGUUAAUUAUUGUAAAGUGCUACCUAAAUAAUAUUUCGAGCGUUCACUUGAAAAUAUAAACACGCAUGAUCUUACAAAGUAUGAACUGAACAUGUAUGCAGAUUUGUGCCAUUUAAAGUAACUGUCUGCCUAUGCUUGUUUUAUAGAAUCAAUGCUUAUGGUGUAAGUACCAGUAAUUACUGCGGGUGAAUGUAAAUGCUUCAUAUAUUUUCUGACUGGGUCACCCGAGGCAGAAAAGAGCAGGACAUGCAUGCAUGCAUGCAUUCUCUCUCUCUCUCUCUCUCUCUCUCUCUCUCUCUCUCUGUCUGUCUCUGAUGCACACACUCACACACACUCCAAAACCGAAAGGCGCUUUGUAAAUGUCAGUACACUAAGUCAGAAAAGCCCCAAGCUUUACAUCAACUGAUUUUUGUUUAGAAAUCUUCCAGAAAUAGCCUAUUUGUGAAAUCAGUUAAAAGAAAUUAUACAAAUUUAGCCAGCCCUAUCACCAUUCUGGUCACAUUAUUGCAUACUGUAUAAUAUGUGCAUGCAUAUGUAUUUAUGCAUAUACAAAUAAUUAUGCAUGAACAUAGUAUACAAUAUGCAAUAAAAACAAAAAUAAAAUGAUCUAUAAAUCAUAAUUAAGACAUUAAUUAAUUAAAAAUAAAAUCAACAAAUGGUAAAACAUGUAAAUGUGUCUCUGUGUUAAAGUAAUUUCAUUAAAUAAAUAAUAAAAAAAAAACAUUUAUAUUAGAUAAUUACUCAAUUUCAAUUCAAUUUAAUUCCAUAUUUUUAUUACAUUUCCUGCAAUCGAAUACUUACACUUAUUUAAAAAAAAAAAAACACUAAUAAAUACAGUUUAAAAUUAAAGCAUCACAAUAUUAUAAUGUGCAGUAUGAAAAAUGGAUUUUGAGAUUUGUUACAGAUUACAUUCAGCUGUAGUUAAAUGUUAUCUUUAAAAAAAAUUAAAAUCCAUUUUUCAUACUGCACUUUGUAAUACUGUGAUGCUUAAAUUUACCCCUAAAUUCAGCAUGUAAAAUGAUAUAUCAUUUUCAAUGUUUCAUUUAAAAGUUAAUUUAUCUGGACAAAUGGCAGGCCAAUAGAAUAUGAAAAAUUCACAUCCAGAAUAUUAAUAUCAGUGCACUGGUUCAUUAUAAAACAGCCCUCAUCAUCACUCAUUCCAUCGCUUCCCAAUCCUGUGAUUCCACAACCUGCAUAUAUGAGGUGAGCACCUACAAUCCCCCAGUUUACCGCUCUGCACGGACACUACAGGGCCCUUUUCCUGUUCACAUGUACAUGCAUGUAUGCAUGUUUAUUUAAUACAUCCCUAUGAGUCUGCCUCCUUUUAAACCCCAUGCAUCUCCUUUGUGCACCUCGUCGCUCAUGCCAGCUGCUCUCUGAAAGCCACAGGAGUUCCCGUAGUUUCCAAGCUUUAAUUAGCCUCGGAGGGUCAACACACCUUCAGGUGCUAUAGCGCACUCACACAUACCCGUGUAUGCAUUUUUCUUCUCACCAAAAUCAGCUGUAAUUUAGCUUUAUAUGGAAUCCAUGCAGGCUCUAUCUUCAUACUUUGCUUGCUCAUCUCCAACGUCUACAUGUGCAUUUGGGUUUAUUGAAAGUAAGGGUGCAGACAAAGGCAACAUUAUAGUGUCUAUUAUUAAUUGUGAGCUUCUGCCUCCCUUCUCUCAACAUCUCUAGAUUUGAAACAUCAGCAAAACACCUCGUCUGCACCCAGUCCCACACAUACUCCAGCUGGAGAACCUGAUAAUUGGCAUUUUGGUGUGUGUGUGUGUGUGUGUGUGUGUGUGUGUGUGUGUGUGUGUGAAAGGGCUUGCACAAAUAUUAACUACUUUUCUACUAUUAUUAUUAUUAUUAAUAUUAACUACUUGCACAAAUAUUAACUACUUAUCAACUACUUUUCUACAAAAGUACAGUAGUUGACUAGUUAGUGUUUACCUCAUGUAAAUGGCUGCCUUCGGUGUUUCUGGUCCAACGCUGUGCUGAUGGAGUGUGUGUGAAUGAAAGUGCAUUUAUGUCCAUUAUUAGAUUCACACUACAAAAAAAAAAAAAAUUGCUUCUAAGUAUUUGUCUUGUUUUCCUGUAAAUAGAUUUAAACAUACAAAACACACUGCCACUGACAAACUUCAGUAAAAAAAAAAAAAAUAAAUUAAAAAAAAAUAAUAAUAAUACUCACUUCAAACAAUAAAAUUUAUAAUACCUGGAGAAACUAACGUUAGCAUUCCCAUUCAUCUCAAGGGCAGUUAGCAACUGGUGGGUACAGGAUCCUCAUAAGUAGACAAUUUGACAUCUGCCAACUUUUUGCUCACAAAACCACAGAAGCUUCUUGGCCAAUCACCUGGGGAAAUAAUAAAUGAAUGAAUGAAUGAAUGAAUGAAUGAAUGAAUGAAUGUUAACAUAUAAAUUACAUUUUAAAAUAUAUAUAUAAAAAUAUAACUUGUUUAAUAAUUAACUAAAAAUAAAUACAUAAAUAAAGAAAAAAAUGUCCUAACAGAUUAUAAAAAAAUAGUUUGAAUAAUAUAAUAUAAUCAAAUGGCUAAUAUUAUUAAUAUAUUUUAUAAUUCAGUAAAAUAUAACCUAAUAAUAAAAAAAUGAAUAUAUAUCAUGUUUUAAAAUAUAACAUAAUAGAAUACAACAUAAUAUCAAAUAUGGCUAAUUUUGAAUGGUAACUAACGGAGAAAGAUGCUCUUUAAAACCAAAUGCUCCAUCAAAUAUGAAAAGCCUUUUUUAUCAUUUACUCAUAGUCAUGUCUUUUGAACCCCAUGACUUUCUUCAGUGAGACACAAAUUUAUGUAUAGUUUAUUUAUCAUUUAGAAUCGUAUGUUGUAGUUAUAGUACAUGUAUAAGCUUUUUUUCCAGUUAAUGAAAGUGAAUGGCAACCAUGUUUGACGAGCGAGAUUUUCAGUGAACAGUGAUUUAUUUCCCACACAAGUUAAUGUAUGACUUCUGAAGACUUGGAAUAUAGUGUGUGAGUCAUAACGACUACUUUUAUGAUGGUAUUUUGUCCUUUUUGGAUCAUGACUUUCUGGUCUCCAUCCACUUUAACUGUAUAGAUGAAAGAUUCAGAAGAACCUCUCUUGUGGCGUUUCACAGAAGAAAGGAAGUUAUACAGCAUGAAUGUAUGAUGAUGAAAUUAUUAUUUUUAGGUGAACUAUCCCUUUAAAGAUAAAAGGUGACAAAUUCCUCCCCUAAUGGCACUUGUUCUGAAACGAAUAAAUCAACGGCGUCAAACCCGUUGCCAAAGUAUGAUUUAUGCAUUUCUCUCUCCCUGAGCAUCUUCCACGCCAUCCAUCAUAUUCAGCAAAAUCCCAAAGAACACGGGUUAAAUCAUCUUCACCUCAUCUCUCCUUACGCAUCUGGAGUGUGUUGAGGGGGUGGGACAUCUCUGAAGUUGAAUAAUAAUCGAAAUGUCAUUAAUCAUCAGUCCACACUCCAUCUCUUUCUACGGCUGUCUCUCUCAGAAAGUCUAGAAAGGUGCGUCCUGUCUGUCUGGCGUGGAUGUCGCUCUCCGUCAUUUCCCAGUACACCCACAUGUUUACUGUUGACUGGCUGUGUUUCUCCAUUCGUGCCGGGAGCCUUGGUGACUGUGCACAUGAGUGCUCUCUUGCACGUCACACGGAAAUAUCCAUCCUCCCCAAGGCUUUCAGCAGCUUGAGGGUUUGACACCAAGAUGUAUGGGAUGUUCAUGGUCCGCUUGGCCUGCUGUUCCCAAACUGUACAGCAUGCGAGAAGUCAGUCGCUAAAGGAGUAAGUUUCCAUGUAACUUCUGCUUGAUGGCUCUGCUCUGGAUUCUCAUUGGAUGAGCCAAAUUCAAGAACAGAUACAUGCACACCCCUACGAAUGCACAUUGAAUUCUGAAUAAAUAUGAAAAAAAAUAGUAACAAU
ensembl:lncRNA